AAACAAUUUAUUUUGUUCGUGUUCAUAGCCUGCAAAAAGUAUUCGAUAGAUGCAAAUUUUUCUUUGAUUUGUUUGAUUUGGUAUGGAUAUUUACCACGUUUGAAGAUUGGAAAUGACCAAAAGUCGACCCUCCCGGUUUGGACUGAACUUGAGAGUGGUGAACCUUGUACGAUAUCUACAGUAUCGGGUCACUACCUGCCAAGAAAAGAACCUAACCUUAUCGAAACUCCCAGUUUGUUCUCCCAUUAUCGUUCGAGAGUCGGCAUUACGAGUUCCAUUCCUCGUGCAAGUUACCCAUGUCAUGAAGUGUCAAGCUUAAAAGAGAUUUCUGGCUCAAGUCACCGCUAGUAGAUAUUGCCUUCUUUCGGCUUUCCUUUUCGGGCUUCCCCUCAAGGUUACACUAGAUAUUGUCCUCUUUUAUCUUGGAACACGAACAAAAUAAACGUAGCAUCUUUCGAGCUUUCCCUUUCGGGCUUCCCCUCAACGUCUUCUUUCCCGAACAAAGAUGCUUCAUUUCCCAUGAUCUUUUUGACAUAGGCUUCCAUAGAACAGCCAAGCGAAACAUUCAAAUAACUCAUAGGGAGCUCGACAAUCGCCACCAAAUCUUACGUGCUGGACUGUCAACCGUAUCCUUGAACUCUUAAAUGUCUGCCACAAACGAUUAUCUAGAAACGAUUGGUGCAUAGGAAGAAGAGAAAAAUCGAUCUUUUCUGUAUCAAGUUUUAAUGCUGAGGUCGAUUUUGUAUGUCUAAAUCGAAGAAAAAGUUCAGUUUCGA